rnacentral:tRNA from 1 species
CUGCCAGUUUGGUGAACGGACCAUCGCCGCUUAGCUUGCCGCUGGUUAACGCCUUGGCAAUGUGUUGUUGUUCUGUGCCGACAACCGGCGGU